GAAGUAAAAGUCGUAACAAGGUCUCCGUUGGUGAACCAGCGGAGGGAUCAUUACUGAGUUUACGCUCUAUAACCCUUUGUGAACAUACCUAUAACUGUUGCUUCGGCGGGUAGGGUCUCCGCGACCCUCCCGGCCUCCCGCCUCCGGGCGGGUCGGCGCCCGCCGGAGGAUAACCAAACUCUGAUUUAACGACGUUUCUUCUGAGUGGUACAAGCAAAUAAUCAAAACUUUUAACAACGGAUCUCUUGGUUCUGGCAUCGAUGAAGAACGCAGCGAAAUGCGAUAAGUAAUGUGAAUUGCAGAAUUCAGUGAAUCAUCGAAUCUUUGAACGCACAUUGCGCCCGCCAGCAUUCUGGCGGGCAUGCCUGUUCGAGCGUCAUUUCAACCCUCAAGCUCUGCUUGGUGUUGGGGCCCUACAGCUGAUGUAGGCCCUCAAAGGUAGUGGCGGACCCUCCCGGAGCCUCCUUUGCGUAGUAACUUUACGUCUCGCACUGGGAUCCGGAGGGACUCUUGCCGUAAAACCCCCCAAUUUUCCAAAGGUUGACCUCGGAUCAGGUAGGAAUACCCGCUGAACUUAAGCAUAUC
rnacentral:rRNA from 1 species